rnacentral:rRNA from 1 species
UGCCAGCAGCCGCGGUAAGACGAACCGGACAAACGUUAUUCGGAAUUAUUGGGCGUAAAGGGCGCGCAGGCGGUCUUGUCCGUCAGGUGUGAAAGCUCGGGGCUCAACCCCGGAAGUGCACUUGAAACAGCAAGACUUGAAUACGGUAGAGGAGAGAGGAAUUCCUGGUGUAGAGGUGAAAUUCGUAGAUAUCAGGAGGAACACCGAUGGCGAAGGCAUCUCUCUGGGCCGAUAUUGACGCUGAGGCGCGAAGGCGUGGGUAGCGAACGGGAUUAGAUA